AUGCCCAGAACCUCACAAUGAGGUGCUUUGUGAGCCUCAUGCCAAGGUUAAUUUGGCACCUUCUUCCCAGAGAGCAUGUGCAGACUGUGACAGGCUUUCAAAGAAGCCACUGCCCACAUGUGCUCUCUUGCUUUCUUAUUGGUGUUCAGGAGGAGAGGGCCGGUUCCUCUCCAGAAAGCUGGGUGCUAUGACAGAUGAGACUUUUAUGCAAGAAAACAAAUCCUACACCUUUGAUGUACUGCUUGAAACUUAAAGAUCUCUUUGGACAUGAAAUUGUAAGACAAAAUGACAGCCCAGGAAGUAGAAGCAGAUGCUAUUUGGAGAACUCAGGCAACUGACAUCUGAGGAGUCUGCCAACACUAGGCUGCACUCAAACUGGUAAUCCUCCUGCCUCAGCCUCCCAGGGUGAAGAGAUUACAGGCAAGUGCCACCACACCCAACUAAUAUAUGUAAGUUUUUAUCCAUUAAGUUUAUUGGUGCAUUUGAUGUAUACAAUAUGAUGACACUCAUCAUUGGGAAUUUGUACCUGUACAUGAUAUAUCUUGGUUCUAGAGGGCAGGAGAAUGGGAAAGAAAUAAUAUACAUAACUUUUAAAAGAAAUUUUCAGUUUACAGAAAAAUGGAUUUCAUUGAUUGUGUAUACAGAAAACUAUCAUAAAUACCAAUGUUACCUAGAUUUUCUCCUAUCUUAUCUUUUAGGAGUUUUAUAGUUGUGAUUUUUAAAUUUAAG
rnacentral:lncRNA from 1 species